rnacentral:rRNA from 1 species
CCUACGGGUGGCAGCAGUCGAGAAUCAUUCACAAUGGGGGAAACCCUGAUGGUGCGACGCCGCGUGGGGGAAUGAAGGUCUUCGGAUUGUAAACCUCUUUUGUCGGGGAGCAAAAGCCGGACGUGUCCGGCUGUGAGAGUACCCGAAGAAAAAGCAUCGGCUAACUCCGUGCCAGCAGCCGCGGUAAUACGGAGGAUGCGAGCGUUAUCCGGAUUUAUUGGGUUUAAAGGGUGCGCAGGCGGAUUUUUAAGUCAGCGGUCAAAUCGUGGGGCUCAACCCCAUCCAGCCGUUGAAACUGGGGAUCUAGAGUGUGCGAGAGGUAUGCGGAAUGCGUGGUGUAGCGGUGAAAUGCAUAGAUAUCACGCAGAACCCCGAUUGCGAAGGCAGCAUACCGGUGCACAACUGACGCUCAGGCACGAAAGCGUGGGUAUCGAACAGGAUUAGAUACCCUUGUAGUC